AUGGGUAUGCUGAAAAUUGGUAGCCAGGUUCCCUUUAGAUUGGAAUAGUAAUAACUUAGACUUUGCAAGUUCAAGUCUUGUUACCCAUA